UUUCCAGGGCUGCACUGUAGUAUUCUGCAAAAGGCAGGAAUUCAGAGCUUAGAUACAUUUGGGAAGCCAAAGCAUUACUUUAAUGGAAGAAGUUAUCAAAUUAGCCGAAGAAACCUAACCAUGACAGAUGCCAUCUCGACUGAGCAGUUUACAAUUUACUACCACAGAAGAAGCACAGAGGAAGUGAAUCCCAGUAUCUGAAAAUCCUGGAUAAGGAAGAGAGACUGCAGCCAGCACUUGCUUCUGUUGCUAGACCAUUUCACAGCUUCUUUCAUAUGCUGCAACCACCAGUGACAUUUUCCAAGGAAUAAGAAGCUGAAUGAGCAACUAAGACAAAGCUGUGUUUCUGGUUUUUUGUUUUUUUCUUUUCGGCAGUGGAAAUAAUUUUAAUCAGCUAUGUGGCUAGAAAUCUUUGGAGAAGGCCUUCAGCAAGUUCCCAUUAAUUUUCUCAUUUAAGAAUUUCUUAAAGUACAGAAGAAAAAUAGUCAAGAUAUUUCAAGAUAACAUAUUUUUCUUGUAAAGGAGGAAUUUUAGAUUUUUUUAUAGAAGCUGUUGGUUUGUUUCUUCUGGGUUGCCUGGAGAAUUGCCUCAAAACAACCAGAGCUAUGUUCCCCUUCCUUAGGGCUUUAACAUGGUCCAUGGGAGCCCAGUGCUCUGCCAGCUCCAGAGGAACAGGACAAGUGAGGGAUUAUGGGUUGGAACCCCAUGUGUUAGAGUGGUGCUCUUACAUGGGUUUUAAUGAUGUUAUCCUCAGAUGAAUUGGAGUGAGGCAACCUCA